AAAAAGCGGAGGAAAAGAAACCAACAGGGAUUGCCUUAGUAGCGGCGAGUGAACAGGCAAGAGCUCAGAUUUGAAAGCCUUUCGGGGCAUUGUAUUCUGAAGCCUUGGUCCUGGGAAACCGAUGUCUAAGUCUUCUGGAAAGGAGCGCCAUGGAGGGUGAUAGCCCCGUACGACAUUGACCCCACUGUAGGACCUUGGCAUGGAGUCGAGUUGUUUGGGAAUGCAGCUCAAAUGGGUGGUAUGCUCCAUCUAAAGCUAAAUAUCUGCGAGAGACCGAUAGCGAACAAGUACUGUGAAGGAAAGAUGAAAAGAACUUUGAAAAGAGAGUGAAAAAGUACGUGAAAUUGUUGAAAUGGAAGGGUAGGCCGCUAACCACGUAGAGUCGUGUUUGGGGGGAAGAUAAAAGCUGAAGAAUGUAACUCCUUGGAGUAUUAUAGCUUCAGUCCAUAUUCCCACCCGAGCGCGAGGACUUAAGACUCUGCUAAAUGGUGGUCUACCACCCGUCUUGA
rnacentral:rRNA from 1 species